GAUUCUAGGUAGGGGCGUGGGGUAUUGUUUGGGUGGAAUCCAUUGUGGUAUUCAGGUUAGUGUUGUUUUGUCAAAGUAAUAAUAAUUAAGUGUGAUCAUAAAUAAAGAAGUAAUGGCAAUUUAAGCAAAAUGUUCAAUUAUCUAAGUGUAAAAGGGGCCAUAAUUAUGCCAAAAUGCUUGAUACAGUGGUCUGCUCUUAUUUAUAGGUUGGGGUCAUGUUGGUAAACAAGUAUGCAAAAUAUGAAAGCAAUAUGUCAAGGGACAAUGAAGAUAAAUGGGGCAGUACGCAAACUUUAACAUUUGCUGCAUAUUCUAAGUGGAAAAGGGGCCAUAAUUAUGACAAAAUGCUUGAUAGAGUUGUCUGCUCUUGUUUAUAGGUUGGGGUCAUGUUGGUAAACAAGUAUGCAAAAUAUGAAAGCAAUAUGUCAAAGGACAAAGAAUUUUUUUUGGGUAGUACGAAAACUUUAACAUUUGCACGCAGACGCUAACGCCGAUGCUGGGGUGAGUUGGAUAGCUCCACUAUAUAUAUUUCAUAUAUAAUAAUCGAGCUAAAAAAUUCAAAGCGGCGCAUUAGGGGGCUUUGUGUUUCUGACAAACACAUCUCUUGUUAAAUAUUGAAGAUAGCAACUUGAUAAUUGUCAUGCAUGUGUAUCUGAUGGAGCUGCACAUUUUGAGUGGCUAAAGGUCAUGGUCAAGGUCAUCGUUCAAGGUCAAAGGUCAAAUUUAUGGCUUCAGAGCGGCGCAGUAGGGUGCAUUGUGUUUCUGACAAACACAUCUCUUGUUUAAAUAUAUUUAGUAUUGUUAAAGAUUAAAAAAAGAAUGUCAACAUUAUUUUUAAACAAGCAAAAUUACUUUCAUGACUUUAAAGAAUGUUAAAAAAAUUUGUUCAUUAAUUGAUAAUCAUCAUUCAAAAUUGGUAAAAUAAUAAAGGGUUUGUAAUGCUUUGCCUUAUCAUUUUGGAAUAUAUGUCCUAACAUCGAGUUAAUAAUCUGUUUCUAUAUGCUAAAGCCUGUAUUGCGCAAUAGUAGCACACUAGAUUGCUUCCAGAGGUCCUAGGUUUAAAAUCCAUGGAAGGCGAUAUUUGUCAUUCCAUUUUUUUUCUAGCUACUAUUAUAGUUAAGACCAAUGAAAAUGUAGAUUUGUUUGUAAACAUAUAAAAUGACAGUUUUCAAAAAAAAGAUUUUUUUCAAUUCUUUAUUUAUUUUUUUCUGUUUAGUUUGAAACUGGUUGUAUACAGGGUAAUUAAUGAACAUUUAUUAAAAGUGUCCUGUGUAAUGGUAGGAACCAAUAAAGUGUUCUUAAAGUUGCCUUUUUAAGAGUCUAUUGCGGCUUCCUUUUUUGACUGACCCAUUGUAUUCAUUUGUUUGGCUUAAUGAAUUUUUGCAACAUUAUAAAAUGUCACGUCAGUUAACAACUUCUACAGAAUGUAUCAGAAUGUUUUUGUUAAAAUGUAAAUGCUAUGUUUUCGUUAAAUUGUUUCAUGAAGUUUACUAUGGAAUGACGCAAAAACUUCUGUUAUAACCUACAUGCAUUUUGCAUUAACAGCAUAACAAGGAUAUUUGUGCAGUCAUUGUAUAUUGAAUCUGUUUAUUGAAUCCCAUAUAUUUUGUGUUCAAUAUAAUCAAACACAAGGGCAGUGUUUAAUUUGGUAAAAGGAAAAACAGUAAAGGUAUAAUAAAGCAUGAUAAUAAAUUAAUAAUUCUUAAAUGUAAUUUUUAUGCCCCCCUUCGAAGAAGAGGGGGUAUAUUGUUUUGCUCAUGUCGGUCCGUCCGUCCGUAUGUAUGUCCGUAUGUCUGUCCACCAGAUGGUUUCCGGAUGAUAACUCAAGAACGCUUAGGCCCAGGAUCAUGAAACUUCAUAGGUACACUGAUCAUGACUCGCAGAUGACCCCUAUUGAUUUUUAGGUCACUAGGUCAAAGGUCAAGGUCACGGUGACCCAAAAUAGUAAAAUAGUUUCCGGAUGAUAACUCAAGAACGCUUAUGCCUAGGAUCAUGAAACUUGAUAGGUAGAUUGAUCAUGACUGGCAGAUUACCCCUAUUGAUUUUCAGGUCACUAGGUCAAAGGUCAAGGUCAUGGUGACCCGAAAUAGUAAAAUGGUUUCCGGAUGAUAACUCAAGAACGCUUAUGCCUAGGAUCAUGAAACUUCAUAGGUACAUUGAUCAUGACUCGCAGAUGACCCCUAUUGAUUUUCAGGUCAUUAGGUCAAAGGUCAAGGUCACAGUGACCCAAAAUAGUAAAAUGGUUUCCGUAUGAUAUCUCGAGAACGCUUAUGCCUAGGAUCAUGAAACUUGAUAGGUAGAUUGAUCAUGACUCGCAGUUGACCCCUAUUGAUUUUCAAGUCACUAUAUCAAAGGUCAAGGUCACAGUGACCCAAAAUAGUAAAAUGGUUUCUGGAUGAUAACUCAAGAAUGCUUAUGGCUACGAUCAUGAAACUUCAUAGGUACAUUGCUCAUGAUUCACAGAUGACCCCUAUUGAUUUUGAGGUCACUAGGUCAAGGUCACGGUGACCCGAAAUAGUAAAAUGGUUUCCGGAUGAUAACUCAAGAACGCUUAUGCCUAGGAUCAUGAAACUUCAUAGGUACAUUGAUCAUGACUGGCAGAUGACCCCUAUUGAUUUUCAGGUCACUAGGUCAAAGGUCAAGGUCACGGUGACCCGAAAUAGUAAAAUGGUUUUCGGAUGAUAACUGAAGAACGCUUAUGCCUAGAAUCAUGAAACUGGAUAGGUAGAUUAAUCAUGACUCGCAGAUGACCCCUAUUGAUUUUCAGAUCACUAGGUCAAAGAUCAAGGUCACAGUGACAAAAAACAUAUUCACACAAUGGCUGUCACUACAACGGAGAGCCCAUAUGGGGGCAUGAAUGUUUUACAAACAGCCCUUGUUAUCAUUUAAUUUUGUUAGCAUUCAUUAUCAUUCCACGAAAUGUGUGUUAUGGUGACUAGUAAUCUGCAAAUAAGGUAUAUCAAAUAGGCACAAUACUCUUACGCAAAUGCUAUACAGCCAUAUUUCCAAAACAUGAUAAUAAAAUCUUCAUAGCUGUAAUAUUCGCACGUAGAUAUGUUCGCAUAUGUUUUUAUUUUAUCCACUUCCAUUUGACCCACUUUGCAAAUGGUAAUAAAUCUUUUCUUUUCAUCCAUCCAUAGAAUAGGAUGAUCUCUGUUUUAGUAUCGGAUAGCAUACAGAAAUGUCGGUCUUUGGUGUUCAUGCAAAUCGGUCUGUUUGUUGCAACGGUCGAUUAAAAGUCAUAUCGCAUGGGAAGGUUUUGCUGUAUCCAUGUAGAAAUUACUGCGUUUCUUGGUAAUGAAAGAUGUUCUAUGAGAACAUUAUAAUUUAUGUCAUGUGCCAGAGAAAAUCUACAUUUUUAACGUUUUUCCGGGAAGAAAAUCUGAUCUGGUGGCGUGUUAAUUCAAAACAGUAGUAUUACAUAAAUAAAACACAGCUAUGCUUGUUGGUCGUCAAACAUAUUUCGUGUUUCGAAGGAUGUUGGACGUUUUGCGAAUGAACAUGGAUACACAAUAUUUCAUGUUUAAAAUGUGAUACUUAUAUUUGUUAGAAGUUUGUUUUACCAAAACAACACAUGUUUGUAAGUAAUGAUGUGCAAUGUAUAUGGAUAUUUACUUGUUUUCACAAGGAUAUCCUGGAGUAAAAAUCCAAAGCCAGA